rnacentral:ncRNA from 1 species
CGUCCUGGCCUUCCCUCCGGUUCUCCGCCGGUGCUCUUGACUGAGUGUCGGCGGCGGCCGGAACGUUUACUUUGAAAAAAUUAGAGUGUUCAAAGCAGGCUCUCGAGCCUGGAUAAUGGUGCAUGGAAUAAUGGAAUAGGACCUCGGUUCUAUUUUGUUGGUUUUCGGAGCGCGAGGUAAUGAUUAAGAGGGACAGACGGGGGCAUUCGUACUGUGCCGUUAGAGGUGAAAUUCUUGGAUCGGCGCAAGACGAACGACUGCGAAAGCAUUUGCCAAGAAUGUUUUCUUUAAUCAAGAGCGAAAGUCAGAGGUUCGAAGACGAUCAGAUACCGUCCUAGUUCUGACUAUAAACGAUGCCAACUAGCGAUCGGGGGGCGUUACAUUGACGACCCCUCCGGCAGCUUACGGGAAACCAAAGUCUUUGGGUUCCGGGGGAAGUAUGGUUGCAAAGCUGAAACUUAAAGGAAUUGACGGAAGGGCACCACCAGGAGUGGAGCCUGCGGCUUAAUUUGACUCAACACGGGAAAUCUCACCCGGCCCGGACACAGUGAGGAUUGACAGAUUGAGAGCUCUUUCUUGAUUCUGUGGGUGGUGGUGCAUGGCCGUUCUUAGUUGGUGGAGCGAUUUGUCUGGUUAAUUCCGAUAACGAACGAGACUCUGGCUUGCUAAAUAGUUACGCGAACCAUCCCGGUCGGGCGUUUAACUUCUU